AUUUUAAUAAAGUUUUGAAUUUGAAAAGAAAAUGAUUUUAAUUUUUUUUAAAUUUCUGUCGAUGUUUUCUAUGUCAAGAGACAUAGAGAUAGCUUGAACGAGAGAGAAGGCCACCUACACCCUCAUGGCCACCCUCAUUAACGAAAUUAACUUCGUCACUCUCAUCAACCAACCCCGCCCACCACCAGUCAUGCAAUACAAUUCGGCCAAAUCACCCACCAACGGUCAAACGGUUCAAAUUAGGGCUUCAAAUGGUCGAGUUCGGCCAUAAAAACUCCAGAUCUGAAGUUUCGAUGGUCGGAUUUCAACAUUAAUAUACGGUGAAUGCGGGCGGUAGGAAGUAAAUUGGUAUGUUUUAUUUCACAACAAAAUUUACGAAUUAAUUUGGGUUUCAGUAUUUUCCGCUUGGUCUGAUUUUGUUGGAUUUAUUAAUUGAUAGUAUGUGGAUUGAAAAAAGAAAUUUGCAUUUGAAACCGGCAAUCGGUGUUUUUUUAAAUUAAUUUCAAAGUUAGAGUUCAAUUAUUGAUUAAUUAAUCGGUAUAUAAAAAAAAGAUGGGAUGUUCUAGAACUAGGUUAGUUCUAUCAUUACUGUAAAUUUUCUGUAUUUUUAAGGAGAUGAUUUCUUAUUUUGGUGUAAUUAGUGAAAACCAUAAUAAUCUCAUUUGAUUACAGGUAUUCUCAUCUGUCGAGAUUUUAAUGUGAUAGUUCUUACUAAAAACUUCAUAGAGAUGGAAAAUUUGUUCUUCUUUCUCUUUAAGGAAAGAACAUGUGUUUUACUUUUAUUUUCUCUUUUUAUUUUCUUUGUCUUUAUUAAUUUUUACUAAUUUUAGAUUUUUCCUAUGUUAGAGGUUUUGUAUUCAGGUUCUGGAUUUAGUAAAGUUGGAGUAGGGAUGUCAAUGGGGCGGGGCGGGGCGGAUGCGGAUGUAUGUCCCUUCAUCCCCAUCCCCACCUAAAAUUUUCACCCCCAUUCCCGCCCCAUCACCCAUGGCGGGUACAAAAUUCAUCCCCUCCCCGCCCCAACGGGUAUAAACUAAAAUCCAUCCCCGCCCCACCACCCAACUGGGUAUCCAUCCCCGUCUUAUCCCCGCCCCAUACCCACGCCAAUAUCCGCCUAAUUUUUCUUAUUAAGCAAACAUUAUCCAUAUGUACGAAAUAAUGAAAGUUAACUUUAGAAAACAAAAACCUUACGACUAAAGAGACACAUAUAAUCGAAAAAAUACCCGUCAUAACAAAAAAAAUCUAAACAAAAAACUUAAAAUUCUCACCUAAAUUCAUAUUAUCACCUAAACAUGCACAUAAAUACAAACUCACCCCAUCACCCAUGACGGGUAUGAAGCGGGGCGAGUGGGGAUGGGGCGGGGCGGGCGAGGAUGGGGCGGGUUCAACAAAAAAUCCACACCCGCCCCAUCACCCAUGGCGGGUACGAUUUCUAUACCCAUCCCCGCCCCAUCACCCGCCAAACCUACCUCCAUCCCCGCCUACUUGGGGCGGAUGCGGGGCGGGUCUCCCACGAAACCCGCCCCACUGACAUCCCUAAGUUGGAGUGUUGGUUAAUUAAUUUUCAUAUAUGUUGUAAUUAGUAUUCUCGUAUUGGGUGCUUGAUUUUACUUGGAUAGGCAGAGCAUGAAUACUUUCAAAGGAAAUUUAGUGAUGUUUGCAGGAUAUGAACAGGGGAUGAAUGAACUAAAGCUUAUAUUAUCAUUUAUCAGUAGCAUAUGCAUCUGAUUGGGGUCAUUAUUAGUCGUCUUAGUACCUUAUAAUCGAUGGGCUCGUCACCACCAAGAUGUCUUAUCUGACAGGUAAGCCCUGGUGUUAGAUGUUAGGAACCCCUCCUUUGAAAGGGUGAUCGUGAUCGUGGAUGCUCUGAAGCGGAAGAGGGCAAGUCACCUCUUCUUUAAUGUUCUUGCCUCUUAUUUUGUUAUCUUAUACGCAAUUAGAACUUAUUGAGGAAGUACACACUGAAGAUAUAUCACUAAUGACUGUGUUUACUGAACAUAAUACCAACACUCUCCAGGAGGAGCGUUGUUGGAUACAAGUUGUUGUCCCUGAACCAAAGCUAGAAAAGGUGCAUGCUUACCUAGGCUGCCCUAACUGUGGGAAGACCACAUAUACUCCACUGGGAAAGGCCUACACGUGUCUGACCUGUAAGAAGCACAGCGUUAUAUCCUCUCCCAAUUUCGUCAACUACCCAACACUUCAAUUCAAUCCCCCACCCCACCCCACCCCAUCCAAUCCCAUCCUUUCUCUCUAAUACACUUACUUUUCCUUACUUUGUUAUUGGCACAAGGUCAUUUUCAACUGUGAAGUUUCCGAUGGCACAGACACAUACGCAUUCACUUCAUUCACUGAGGAUUCUGAGAAGCUUUUUAGAAUGGUUGUUGCAGAUCUCUUCAAGAUGAAGCACAUUGUGAGUUCUUUAAUUUAAUCUCUUUUGUUGAUUCCUAAUAGUUAAUAGUUAAAUCUGACAUAAGCUCACCAAUAUUUGGAAUCAUAUAAACCAAACCAACAGAAAAACAAAGGACAUAAUAGAAUUGGAAUUGAAAAGUGACAACUAAAUAGCAUUUACACCUCUUGGUUCUGAAACUUAACCACAUCACGCUCAAAUGAAUCCCAAAAGGCAUUAAAAAAAAGUAUUUGAAACUCGAUCACGACAUUGAAAUGAAUCCAAAAGGCAUAAAAACAAAAUAAUAUGAAACUCGAGCACGACAUUGAAAUGAAUCUAAAAACAACGAAGGAAGGACUCUUAAUUCCAACAUGCCAAUAGUAAAAUUAAAUGGCAUUAUCGAACUUCAGUGGGAUGAGGUUUGCAAACCUUGUGCUCAAAGAAGGGAUAAUCCAUACAUUAUUUUCCCGAUUUCUCCUCAUUAUUAUUGUUUUGGAAUAUGGUUUUCUUUAUUGCCUUGUUUAUUGAGCUAGUAUGAGUGAAAGUAGAAGAGACAGAGACCUUUAGUGAGUGAGAGAUAGAAUUGGUUACCAGUUCAAAGUUACAACUUUGUUCUAUUGAUUAAUGAAGCAAAAAUCAAGUUAGCCUAGAACCUUGUUUUCCCUUAAAGCAUAAUUUAUUCCAAUCAAAAUAUUUUGAAAUAAUUAAAGAUUAAACAUACCCCAAUUACUUUACUGCAUUUUGUUUCUCAUUCUGCCCAGAUGGAGCCUAAUUCUUAAAAUUUUGCCAAUGUUGCGAUCUGCCUUGAAUUCUAGGUUUGUGGAAGAUUUGUACUUCAAGUCUCAACCUUCUCUUUCCAGUAUCUCUAACAUCUAUCUAAAUUAAUCUCAACCUUCUCUUCAAGUCUCAAUGCUUGUUAUGCUCUCAUGCACACACCCUUAACUAAAUUACAUAAAGACUCCUAGCUUCCCCUAUUGGAAUGCCCGACAAACACAAAGUUUGUUACUUAUAUCUAACUUCUAAACGUCGCCCAAAACCAGAUAUCACUUAUGUGUUUGUGGGUUGUAUACCUCUCACUUUGAAAUAGCAUCUCAAUUGUCCAUAAUUGUACCUCUCGCAUUGUGGGAGCAUCUCAGUUGUUCUCCGGAUCCCUGGUUAUAGUGUUUAUCUGCUCCAGUGGUGAUUGAUAUCAAUUACGAAUUCGAAAGUUCUGUUGCUAUUGGUUAUUUCUGACUGGUUAAUACUAGGACCUUCCCGUCCGCACACGAACUUCUCAACACCAGGCAUGUUCUGAUGGAAGUUGGGCCAAAUAUGUCCUUGGCCAAACACAAUGCCCUUCAAUGGUGCUUGAAGCAAGUGGUCAUCGAGGAUGCCCCUCAUGAGGAGGUUGGUGAUCAUGUUGUUGCAAAGGAUGUCGAUCAAGGUGCUACUGCUCAUGAGGAUGGUGACCACGCUGUUGCAGAGGACGUCGACCACACCCACACUGCCCCUGUUAAGGACUAAGUGUUGCACUUCCUCAUUUUGUAUUGCAUGCUCAUGGCCAACCUGCAUUACAAUAAACAAUCAGUUACACCCCUCUCUUUAAUGGCUAUGUGUAUGCCUUUUGCUAGAAAACAUUCCAAAGGCUUGGUAUUGUAAUAUAUUAACUCUAGCUUUUAUGAUUAUGGUUUUUCUUGAGGAACAUGGCAGUGUUGAUUAGUAGCUCAUGUUCCUAGGAAAUAUCUAAGUAUCUUUUGCCUUUGUGGCUCCAAACUAAUGGUCGCACCUUGUAAUAUAUGACUAUUUCAUGCAUUGUAUUAUCACUUAUGGCUUCUAAGUCACAACCCUUUAUCCAUUGUAUGAGAAGUGCAA